UUGAACUCCUGACUUCAGAUGAUCUGUUCACCUUGGUCUCCCAAAGUGCUGGGAUUAAAGGUGUGAGCCACUGUGCCCAGCCCAGUAUUUUUUUGUUUGUUUUUAUUGAGAUGGAGUCCCGCCCCAUUGCCCAGGCUAGAGUGCAGUGGCGUGAUCUCAGUACACUGCAACCUCCACUUCCCAGGUUCAAGCGAUUCUCCUGCCUCAGCCUCCUGAGCAGUUGGGAUUACAGGCGCGCACCUCCACACCUGGCUUACUUUUGUAUUUUUAGUAGAGACGGGGUUUCACCAUGUUGGCCAGGCUGGUCUCCAAUUCCUGACCCCAAGGGAUCCACCUUAGGCCUGGCCGCCAACAUUCUGAACCUUGUCUUUUCUCUGUCAUGUAUUCAGAGUCCACGCUGGAAACUCCAAUUUCAGGUAGAUGAUGAGCUGGAGAUCAAGGCCUACUAUGCAGGCCACGUGCUGGGGGCAGCCAUGUUCCAGAUUAAAGUGGGCUCAGAGUCUGUGGUCUACACGGUCAGUGGAAGGGCUUGAGGCUCGGGAGGGGCUGCUGGGGUGGGAGGCACCCUCCUCAUGGCAUCCUUGAUCGUUCACCAGGGUGAUUAUAACAUGACCCCAGACCGACACUUAGGGUAAGUAGGCUGAGGUGUCUUUUUGUCCCGUGGGCCCCCCUGGAGCUCAGGACCCUUGCAGGCGUCAGGGUGCCAGCCCUUGAGUGGCCAGCCUGGCAGCGUCUCCCAUGUCCUGUGCGGCCUGGAGAGCCCCCUUCGUUCUGGGCCCAAAUGCGCGAAGGCACAGGGUCCAGGCGGGGGCCUCAGUCCCUCCUUCUCUCUCUUCCCAAGUGUCUGGGUGGGUGCCUCUGUCUCGCUCUUCCGAAGUGUCUGGGUGGGUGCCUCUGUCUCUCCUCUCUCUUCCCAAGUGUGCUGCCCACAGCAUUUUACCAGCUGGCUCUUUCCAGCCAGAGUGACCUAGGAAGGCGGCUGGGCGUGGUACUGGGGUCCAGCUUGUCACACCCAGCCCUGCAACUGUGGGGACAGUGCAUCGUGGCUCACACCCCCACCCCCGUGUUCCAGAGCUGCCUGGAUUGACAAGUGCCGCCCCAACCUGCUCAUCACAGAGUCCACGUACGCCACGACCAUCCGUGACUCCAAGCGCUGCCGGGAGCGAGACUUCCUGAAGAAAGUCCACGAGACCGUGGAGCGUGGUGGGAAGGUGCUGAUACCUGUGUUCGCGCUGGGCCGCGCCCAGGAGCUCUGCAUCCUCCUGGAGACCUUCUGGGAGCGCAUGAACCUGAAGGUGCCCAUCUACUUCUCCACGGGGCUGACCGAGAAGGCCAACCACUACUACAAGCUGUUCAUCCCCUGGACCAACCAGAAGAUCCACAAGACUUUCGUGCAGAGGAACAUGUUUA
rnacentral:lncRNA from 1 species